rnacentral:rRNA from 1 species
UACGAAGGGGGCUAGCGUUGCUCGGAAUCACUGGGCGUAAAGGGCGCGUAGGCGGCUUGGCAAGUGGAUGGUGAAAUCCCUCGGCUUAACCGAGGAACUGCCGUCCAAACUGCUUCGCUUGAGACCGGGAGAGGUGAGUGGAAUUCCCAGUGUAGCGGUGAAAUGCGUAGAUAUUGGGAGGAACACCAGUGGCGAAGGCGGCUCACUGGACCGGUACUGACGCUGAUGCGCGAAAGCGUGGGGAGCAAACGGG